rnacentral:rRNA from 1 species
AUUGAACGCUGGCGGCAUGCUUUACACAUGCAAGUCGAACGGCAGCGCGGGCUUCGGCCUGGCGGCGAGUGGCGAACGGGUGAGUAAUGCAUCGGAACGUGCCCAGUAGUGGGGGAUAGCCCGGCGAAAGCCGGAUUAAUACCGCAUACGGCCUGAGGGUGAAAGCGGGGGACCGAAAGGCCUCGCGCUAUUGGAGCGGCCGAUGCCGGAUUAGCUAGUUGGUGGGGUAAAGGCUUACCAAGGCGACGAUCCGUAGCUGGUCUGAGAGGACGACCAGCCACACUGGGACUGAGACACGGCCCAGACUCCUACGGGAGGCAGCAGUGGGGAAUUUUGGACAAUGGGGGCAACCCUGAUCCAGCCAUGCCGCGUGCGGGAAGAAGGCCUUCGGGUUGUAAACCGCUUUUGUUCGGGAAGAAAUCCUCUGGGCUAAUACCCCGGGGGGAUGACGGUACCGGAAGAAUAAGCACCGGCUAACUACGUG